rnacentral:lncRNA from 1 species
AGGUAAGAUAUUUUUUUACCCUUUCAAAUUUACUAUUUUACUUCAUUAACAAUAUUUAUUCAAUUGUAUUUAAAUAUUUUAUUUUCUUUUUCUUUCAGCAUUAUAUACAAGAUGUUACUCAGACUCUGAUUGUCCAAAAGAGUUGUGCCCCAAACCUCGUACGAAACCAAAGUGUGUCGAUUUCGUAUGUAGAUGUGUUAAAAUAAUUUAUCCAGAUAAAUAGUGUCAAAACGAAGAGAGUCCACAAAUGUUGUACUAGAAUAUUUCAUGAGUUAUAAUUUGCUUGUUGAAUUGUCCUGCAAUAAUUUGAUUUUAUUUUUGCUUUUGUUUUUCUAGUUUCAAUAACCUCGUCAUUAUGGAUUUGUAAUCUAAGUAAUGUUAAUGAAAUGAAAUAAGGUAGCAAUAAUAUUAUCUAGAUUGUUUUCUUCUCUCUUAAUUUAAGAGAUAUCGACACACACACAUAUAUGAGUGGACGUCAGGAAUAAAUAUCUUUGGAAUUUGGCUUGUCCUCUGUUAUUGAUGUGUUUUCGUUGUCAUGAUCCAUGGUGUGAUGAGAGCACCAAUGAAAUGGACAGAGAAUCGAAAGGAGCAAAGUAUCGAAGAAAAUAGCAAUUGAGAUGAACAAAGUAUAACCGAACAGAGUAAAAUCGAAGGAACAUGGUAUAAUUCCAAACGAAAUAGCAAUUGUAUUGAAUAAUAAGUGUUGAGUAUGGUUCAUAUAUGCAUCAGGAAGAGCAGGGGUAUUUACGACAUUCUAUUAGUAUUAUAUAUACCGCUUGUAACACUGAAACCCUAAUUCAUUCUUUCAUCUAAUAGAAACGAGCUGUAGCGAAUUCUGCAGCCGGAGACGUACCUAAGGGGAACUCCGUUAUCAAACUUCUUGUGUUCUUAUUGUUUGCAAUUUCGUUAUUAUUACCUUCUGUUACUAUUUGUGCACAACAAUAAGCAAGGAUUGUAGAUCCAAAACCCCUAACACAGACUAAUGGUUAAA